rnacentral:rRNA from 1 species
UACGUAGGGGGCAAGCGUUGUCCGGAAUCAUUGGGCGUAAAGCGCGUGUAGGCGGUUCAGUAAGUCUGCUGUGAAAGUCCAGGGCUCAACCCUGGGAUGCCGGUGGAUACUGCUGAACUAGAGUACGGAAGAGGCGAGUGGAAUUCCCGGUGUAGCGGUGAAAUGCGUAGAUAUCAGGAGGAAUACCGGUGGCGAAAGCGACUCUCUGGACGGCAACUGACGCUGAGGCACGAAAGCGUGGGGAGCAAACAGG